GCCUCCAGAAAAGAACAAUGGGGAAAAUAAAUUCCCUUCAGAAUCUUCACCCAGAAACCCUCCUGGUUGCUCAAAAUUCUCCAACCCUUGCCUCAAAUUUAUUCCUUAUUUAUCUAUGUAACAUCUGCUUCCAUUUUUUUUUUGGAAAGAUACAGCAAACUAUUUGUUAAAAUCAUAAAAUUUAAAUCCUCUCUUGUGAAAGAGCCUGGAUCAAGUAUAUAAGCGGCUUUACCACAAAUUAAGGGUAAGAGAAGAGAUCGUAAAUAUUAUAUUUUAAAUUUCAAAUUUAUGAGAUAUUAUUUUUAAAUAAUAAUUAUAUAAAUUAAUUGAAUUAAAAUUCGUGUUCGUGUGCUUUGGAUCAUAAAGAAUGUAAAAUUUGCAUACUUCAAUAUUUUUUUUGAAUCAUAAUGAAUGUUACUUUUGCUUAAUUAUUAAUUUAUGCAUAAUCAAAUUUUAACUAAAACUAGGAACCACUGAAAUGAUUGUAUCAUUAAAAUUAUAAUCAUAUAAAUGGGUUUAUUUAACAAACACAUAAAAUUAAAUUUAUUAGUUGAAUGAAUGAAUCCUUGCUAAUCAAUGGACUAAGAACAAAUUAAUUAUGACUAAUUAUAAUCAGCAGUAAAAAUGAAAAAAAUCUGAAGCUAUCCAUUGGAUGGUAAUAAGUUUUUCUUUAUAAAAAUUUAAUUCACAUUGAACCUUAAUCCAAACUUUGAAUAAACCUUACAAAGCAUAUGUUGAAGCCUUAUUUCUUUUUUUUCUUAUGGCUCUGAUCUGCUGCAAGCAAGUUGCUGAGGAAAGAAGCCUUCAAUCUCCAUCACAUUUGACACAUUAGAAUCAAUUACUAAACCCAUUUUGUUUGAAAUUUUAGGCACUGGGAAGCAGCAAUCUUGAGGCAACCAAGAAACUCCUUUGUUGUUCCAUUGAGACUCCAUGACAACCAAGGAAAGAUAGAUGAAAACAAGAACUGAGAUUGCAAAAGAGAGUAACAUCUCU
rnacentral:lncRNA from 1 species